rnacentral:rRNA from 1 species
CAGCCGCCGCGGUAAUACCGGCGGCCCGAGUGGCGGUCACUCUUAUUGGGCUUAAAGCGUCCGUAGCCGGGUUGGGAAGUCCUCCGGGAAAUCUGGCCGCUUAACGGUCAGAAUGCCGGAGGAUACUCCCAGCCUAGGGAGCGGGAGAGGCCGAGGGGCUUCCCGGAGUAGGGGUGAAAUCCUAUAAUCCCGGGAGGACCACCUGUGGCGAAGGCGCUCGGCUGGAACGCGGCCGACGGUGAGGGACGAAGGCCAGGGGAGCAAACCGGAUUAGAUACCCGGGUAGUCCUGGCGGUAAACGAUGCGGACGUUGUGUCGGACAAGCUAUGAGCUUGUCCGGUGCCGGAGGGAAACCGUUAAGUCCGCCGCCUGGGGAGUACGGCCGCAAGGCUGAAACUUAAAGGAAUUGGCGGG